UACGAAGGGGGCUAGCGUUGCUCGGAAUCACUGGGCGUAAAGGGUGCGUAGGCGGGUCUUUAAGUCAGGGGUGAAAUCCUGGAGCUCAACUCCAGAACUGCCCUUUGAUACUGAAGAUCUUGAGUUCGGGAGAGGUGAGUGGAACUGCGAGUGUAGAGGUGAAGUUCGUAGAUAUUCGCAAGAACACCAGUGGCGAAGGCGGCUCACUGGCCCGAUACUGACGCUGAGGCACGAAAGCGUGGGGAGCAAACAGGG
rnacentral:rRNA from 1 species